UACGGAGGGGGCUAGCGUUGUUCGGAAUUACUGGGCGUAAAGCGCACGUAGGCGGCUUUGCAAGUUAGAGGUGAAAGCCCGGGGCUCAACUCCGGAAUUGCCUUUAAAACUGCAUCGCUAGAAUUGUGGAGAGGUAAGUGGAAUUCCGAGUGUAGAGGUGAAAUUCGUAGAUAUUCGGAAGAACACCAGUGGCGAAGGCGGCUCACUGGCUCAUUACUGACGCUCAGGCGCGAUAGCGUGGGGAUCAAACAGG
rnacentral:rRNA from 1 species